UUGAGUGGUCUUUUAGAGACUUGCAUUUGUAAAGAGACCUCCGUGAAGAGAAUCUUAUCGAUGUGUUCACCUUGCUUGCUUAAGAAGCCAAAGACUCCCAGCGCAGGCUGAGUCUUUGAAAUGCCAGAUCACUAUUGCAGUCUUCAGGAUGGAUGAAAAAAUUUUAUAUAUUUUUUCCUUAGAAUCUCAGGUGUACAAUGAGAAACCUGGGUUUUGUGACAUCUGAGUCUUUUCCCAACUUAGUGAGUCUGUCUGGAUCUCUGACUAACCAUAAGCAUGAAGGCUCUUAUCAAAAUAAACCACUAAUAAGGGGAAUCUGGUGACUGAUGGAGAUAAGCAGUGCAAAUGGUGUCUGUUGAUCAAUGGCAAACUAUACCUGUGAAUGAGCUGUGCCCUAUAAAGGCUCCAACACUCUUUGGAAAAGAAGAGAUAGAAACCAUUCUGUCUUCUGAGUCUAAGAAAACAUGGGAUGCAUCUGAGGCUUAAGGAUGUAAAGAUGAUCCACAUCUUCCAUGUACCCUUAGCUGCCUAAUAGAGCUGUUCAAAAUCACAUUGCCUUUUACUGUGAGACACAGUUCCUGUUGUAAGGACUUUACAGUUUUUGCGGGGAGAUAAGACAAGUGCAUGGCCAUUAGAAUACAAUGCAUGAAGUGUCAAGAACAAGAAAAAUGGCAUGGUGUGCGGUGGAAAUUCAGAGGCAGUCUGGUCUGUGGUCUUACUCCAUCCUUUCCAGGAGAGGCAUCCUUCUAACUGCACCAGCCCACUGCAUAUCUUCCCUCCUCCAAGAGGGACCGGAGAUGUCACGAACGUAUCCUACCCUCCUUACCCUGGGGCUUGCAGUGGCCGUUCCUGAGAAGCAGGUGUGGACUGGAAAGAAGCUGUGGGGCUCUCUCUGGCCACAUGUGGCAUCUGUGAGAAAGAAUCCAGCCAGACAGAAUAACUGAGCUCUCUGAGAGAGCCUGAAUCUGCUUUGAAGAGAGGAAUUGCACAAAGGAAGUUUCUGCAAAGAACACACUUCUCAUGGGCCCUCUCAUUUGUCCUGGAAGUGUCAGCCUCUGUCUUAAAACCUCCAGGCUCAGAACCUGGGAAGAUUGCUGCCUGACUACUGCAACCUGUAGGACAACAAUGAUAUAAUUCAGCCUCUAUGCCUGCUUCUCUGGACUUUGAGAAGGAAAGAUGACAAGUCCCUCUGCAUUCCAUCUACCUGCUCAGCCAGCAUCUCUUAGUACUUGCUAUGGGCUGGGCACCGUGUGAGCCUUAUGUUCCACCAGUGUAAAAACAACGUCAAUCUACUGUACAGAAAGCGGGUCAGACUUCUUUGGGGC